rnacentral:lncRNA from 1 species
AUGGUUAUGGUAACAUCUCUGUCAGUCCUCUCAUCAUCAGAUGGUUAUGGUAACAUCUCUGUUCAGUCCUCUCAUCAUCAGAUGGUUAUGGUAACAUCUCUGUCAGUGGUAACAUCUCUGUCAGUCCUCUCAUCAUCAGAUGGUUAUGGUAACAUCUCUGUCAGUCCUCUCAUCAUCAGAUGGUUACGGUAACAUCUCUGUCAGUCCUCUCAUCAUCAGAUGGUUAUGGUAACAUCUCUGUCAGUCCUCUCAUCAUCAGAUGGUUAUGGUAACAUCUCUGUCAGUCCUCUCAUCAUCAGAUGGUUACGGUAACAUCUCUGUCAGUCCUCUCAUCAUCAGAUGGUUAUGGUAACAUCUCUGUUCAGUCCUCUCAUCAUCAGAUGGCUAUGGUAACAUCUCUGUCAGUCCUCUCAUCAUCAAAUGGUUACGGUAACAUCUCUGUCAGUCCUCUCAUCAUCAGAUGGUUAUGGUAACAUCUCUGUCAGUCCUCUCAUCAUCAGAUGGUUAUGGUAACAUCUCUGUUCAGUCCUCUCAUCAUCAGAUGGUUAUGGUAACAUCUCUGUUCAGUCCUCUCAUCAGCAGAUGGUUACGGUAACUCCAUGACUUCACGGUUCAUAAACACAAUCAACUCUUUAGACAGUUAUGCUUUUUCAAUCACGUGACAAAUCUCAUCGCUGAGCUAAAAAGGUUCCACUGACCUAAGACACCUUUUCUUAGCCCAAUAAACAUCUGGUAGAUCGGAUGGAGUUGAACCAUAGGCUGCUAAUGUUAUACACAGCCUAUGAAAGGAAGGAAGGAGCCUGCGAACAGCUAUUUUCAGUCGUCUUACUGGAAGUUUAGUUAGUCAUAGUUGUUAAUAAACAGGACUUCAAAGAGAGAACAAAUGUUUUCCAUGAACAUUCCAAACCCAUUGAGAAACAAGAUGGAGAAAUUCUGGACAGAAAGCAUGGAUGGACCCAAUGAACAUAAACAGGUUGAAUCCACAUUAUUUCCACGUAUAAAUAUAUAUUUAAAAAAAAAUCUAUCUGGUGACAAUGCAAAAAGUCAUCAAU